CUCGGGACCUCAUGCUCUCAUGGAUGGAGCAAAGGUAUCUAGGCCUUGCCUUGCUGUCCCUCAAGGGUUGGAGGACAGCUCUUUGUUGACGGCUGACAAAAUCCUAGAGUGUCAACACACCUCUGGACUCCCACACCCAUGACCCUUUGCCAGGCCUCUCGCACCCUGGG